CAUCCGUUCAUACAGGGAGAUACCAUCUCCUUCUGCCAUGGGUGAGAGAAUUUUUCUAAGACGUAACCGGAAGAAUCGAUUUGCUGGGUUGUGGAGCGUGUGCAUCGUUUACUUUACANNNNNNNNNNNNNNNNNGCUCCCCGGGGUCCUCUGCCGGGCUGGUGGGGAGCACAGGAGCGCCAGCUGUGGCCAUGAAGACACCGUCCACAUGAGCCUGACAACCCUGGAAGGCCUGGCCCCCCCUGAGGCCCAGCCUGAAGCAGGAGACCUGGAGCCAGAGGCCAAGACGCCAGCCGAGCGGAAAGACCCUGGAGCAGCCCCCAGAGGAGGUCCAGAACCACAGGAGGACUCAGCACCCGGGCAGGGAGGACCUCUGGCUCUUUCAGAGGGACACUCACAUCCUCAUGGGGACUCACCCCCCGGGGAGGAUGAACCCUCUGCUCCUCUCCCAAGAGGCCCAGCUCCUCUUGAGGAGCCACCACCCGGGCAGGGUGGAACCAUGGCGCCUCCUGCAGGAGGACCAGGCCCCCAGGAAGACUCAGCCCACGGGCAGGCUCAACCUACUGCUCCUCCGGAUGGAGGACCAGAGCCUCAGGAGACCUCACCUCCCGGGCAGGGAGGUGAUGAAAAUCCUGCUCCUCCUACAGGAGGACGAGGCUCUCAGGUGGACUCACCAGCCGGGCAGGAUGAAAACGCGGCUCCGGCCGCAUCCCCACNGGUCGGAAACGUUACCCCAGCCUUUGCAGGAGAACAAGGGCCCGAGGAGAAUGCAGCAGCUGUGCAGGUAGAGCCUGCCCUGACUGCUCCCGCACCCCCUGUACCAGGUCCUGGCCUGGCUCUUCCAAGAGCCCCAGGCCCGUUUCCAAAACCACCUUCCCCAAGGUCCCCUCUGCCCCUGCCAAUGCCUCCCCAUCAGCUCCCCGAACACCCCAUCCCCUUGCUCCCCCUUCUGACAGGGACUCUCCUUCCCCUCUCCUGAUUUCUCUUUGGAGGUGUGUCCAAUUUCUCUUCCUGUUUCAUAUGGUAUUAGUUUACUUUAUGUUUUGAGCCUAGAGUUUUUAGAAAGUUGAAAGAAAAUAAAAAUAAAUAAGGUAGUUAUUGAUAGGGAAGU
rnacentral:lncRNA from 1 species